rnacentral:misc_RNA from 1 species
GAUGAAGAACGUAGUGAAAUGCGAUAAGUAGUGUGAAUUGCAGAAUUCAGUGAAUCAUCGAAUCUUUGAACGCACAUUGCGCCCCUUGGUAUCCCGAGGGGCAUGCCUGUUCGAGCGUCAUUUCACCACUCAAGCCUGGCUUGGUGUUGGGCGACGUCCCCUUUGGGGACGCGCCUCGAAACGCUCGGCGGCGUGGCACCGGCUUUAAGCGUAGCAGAAUCUUUCGCUUUGGAAGUCGGGGCCCCGUCUGCCGGAAGACCUACUCGCAAGGUUGACCUCCGAUCAGGCAGGGAUACCCGCUGAACUUAAGCAUAUCAAUAAGCGGAGGA